UACGUAGGGGGCGAGCGUUGUCCGGAUUUAUUGGGCGUAAAGAGCGUGUAGGCGGCUUGGUAGGUCUCGCGUCAAACCUGCGGCUCAACCGCAGUUCGCGUGGGAAACCACCUAGCUAGAGUCCGGAAGAGGAGAACGGAAUUCCCGAGUGUAGCGGUGAAAUGCGCAGAGUAUUGGGAAGAACACCAGUGGCGAAGGCGGUUCUCUGGGACGGUACUGACGCUGAGACGCAAAAGCGUGGGGAGCGAACAGG
rnacentral:rRNA from 1 species